CAUUCUGGACUCAUAUUUGAGCUCUGAAGUUUUUGCCAUGCUUCUGUAUAAGUCGGUGAUGUCUAUUUUGUUGUUUUAUGUGGACAAUGUUUGAUUAUUUUUAUCUUGAUCUGCCUACAGGAUUGGAAACUGAUUUGGACUUUCUUGUACUUGAGCUGGCGAGUUUGUGUAGAAGUCUUAAAUCUUUUUCGAACCUAAACUCUGUAGACUACAACAAUAAGAAAUCUCACAGUGUCUUGAUUUUUCAUUUUGCUUAUGAGUCCUUUAAUAUAGUGUUCCCACUAACUGUGAUGCUAUACUAUUCCUUGUUCAAUUUAUUUGUAGGUUUUGGUCCUCGCCAGCUCUUUUAAGGCAUUUGUUUUGGUGAAGUUGACUUUCCUCAAUUGAUUUGGUUCUUCUCUAUAGGAGCACAAUUCCAUAUUGUUGGCUGGCUGGUAAUUAUGAGUUUUAAAAGUUAAUUAACAUUGUAAAAUAAAAAAAAAGUGCUUGCAUUAUGUGUAUUUUAGGCUCCAUUUGUUUAGUUUUAACUAAUCCCCGCAUUACUUGGCAUUUUUGUCCCUGAUCCUUUUUCUAACUGCUGUCUACAUGCACUCAUUACAGCUUUUAAGAACUUAAGAUUGUCAAUUUUGUCAUUGGGCAGUCAUAUAAGAUAACAGCAGCCAGCUUUAAAAAUGGUUGUUUGAAUGCCCAAAAAAUAUAAGAUUUACCCUGUACCAUUCGUUAUGCAACUUUUGCAGUUGUAGGUGCAUGUGAAAAAAUCUCACUGGGAAUAUUUUUUGGAGCUUGGCAGCUUAAGGCUUGUUGUUGUUGUUGGCGGCUUAGGUGAUGGAGUUUAGUUUGGUGAUAAGCAAUAUUUUCUUUCCCCCUUGUUUUCUUUAUUCUCUCCUUCAAUCAUAUGAAUUAUAAGCCACUAAAGGUUUGAGCUUUCUACAUCCGUUUGGUCAUCCUAUGUUGGGAGUUUCAUAUCCAAUUUGGUUUGCCACUUAUUAUCUUUCUACCGAAUGCAGCAUUUUUUUUUUAAUUAUUAUUUUUGUGGUAUGCCACUCAAGCAGUGGAGUCUGAUUUGGCAAUAGGCUCUCUUUUCCUCCCUUUUUAUGUUACUUCUUUUCCUCUACUACAAUCAAAAGAAUUUGAAGGAUAAUUUUUUCUUGUUUUAAUGCUUUUCUAAUAGGGUGUGUGAAUGCUUUUCCUAGGAGAGUUACAAGUUCUAGUAUUUAUAAAAAAAAAAAAAAGUUCUAGUCUUCUGAAUGAGGUUUUGAAACUUCUAUUGUAAUUUUUGUUCCUUGCUGUCUCAUUUAAAUUUUGGUCAUUUUGUGUUGGCAACCUCAGUAAUGAUAUCCAGUUUAAGCCAGUGAUGUCUCUUAUUGGUGCGGAGCAGUAAUAAAGCCAUGUGUAACCUGAAUUUGGUUGUAGAGGUAAAACUAUACAGGUUUUGCUUUCUCUUCUCUUAGCAGUAGUUGGACUUUUUGGGAAUUACAAGGAAUUCACUUUAUAUUUCUUGAUUUGCGUCAUAAUUUGUUAAGUUGGAUUGUUGUUGAUUCUUUUCCGUGUCACCAAAUAUCUGGCAACAGGGAAGAGCUAGGCUUUCAGUGUUAUAAGUAUUUAUCUUUAUAUUUGUUGGAUUAUUUUUAUACUGAAAUAUAGUAGUUCAUUUUAUUCGUUGUUUUGAAAUUCUUGGUGCAUGUUAAAAAUCCAUUCCUCAUAAAUCUACAGGAACUGGUAUUUUCUUUUUGGGUACUUAGCAGAAGAGGUUGAGUUUGAUAUAGUGAUAAGCUCUUUUUCUGUCCCACUUUCAUCUGUCUAUUUUCAUAAGAAUUAUACAAUUUUUGGCUCUUUUAAUUCUUUAUAAUAUUGGGGCCUGCUUCUGUUAGGCUUAGCUUUUUUGGGCAGCCAUGAAUUCAAUGUCCCACCUGGUGAGGGUUUGAAAUUUCCCUAGCAAUUAUAUUUCCUCUGUCCUGUCUUGUUUAAUUUUUUUCUCAUUCAAUCUGAAGAUGGUAAUGCCUCUUAUUGUUGUGGGGCAGGUAAAUUAACAAAGUUUGUAACCAAUGUUUGCCAGGGAAAAAUAAUUCAGGCUUUUGCUUUAUCCUGUUAUGAUUUGCAUGUGUUGGGCUUUGUAGGAAUGACAUGGAUCAAAUUUUUGUCUCUAGAAUUGCAUUAUAUCUUGUAACCUUAGAUUGUUGCUGAUUGCUUUCCUUGUCGUAGAAAGUGAGUGGGCAGAUACUGUCAAUAUCAAAUCAGGUUCAUUUUCAGUCUGAAGUUUUUGUUAUUUCUGGUCUCAUAUUUGAGCAGUGAUUGACAUGUUUCUUUAUAAGCUGUAGAUGUCCAUCUUGUUGUUUUGUGUGGACAAUGUUCAUUAUUUUAAUCUUGAUCUAUCUACAUCAGGGGAAAUUGAGUUGGACUUUCUUGUACUUAAGCAGCUGAGGUUGUAUAAAAGUCUUUACUUUUUUUUUGAACUUGGCUGCGUGUUGACUGCAACAAUAAGGAAGCUCUUUUUUUUUUUUUUUGGGUUCUUGAAUUUCACAUUUUGCUUAUAUGUCCUUAGUAUAGUGUUCCCACUAACAUGAUACUAUACUAUUCCUUGUUCAAUUUACUUAUAGGUUUUGGUCCUCGACAGCCCUGUGAAGGCAUUUGUUUCUGUGAAGUUGGCUUUUCUAGAUCGAUUUGGUUCUUGUUUGUUGGAGCACAUUUCCUUAUUGUUGGCUGGCUGGUAAUGAUAAGUUUAAAAAUUCAAUUGACAUUGUAAACGAAAAUUGUUGCUUGCAUUGUGUGUUUUUCAGGCUUCAUUUGUUUGGUUUUAACUAAUUACAGAACUACUUAGCAUUUUUUUCCUGGUUCCUUUCUCUAUUGCUGUCUACUUGCACUUCUUACUACCUUUAAGAACCUAAGGUCUUCAAUAUCAUCAUUGGGCAGUUGUAUAAGAUAAAAGCAGCCAGCUUCAAACAUGGUUGUUUUGAACGUCAUCAAUUCUAGUCGUUUUUACAACUUUUGCAAUUUUGGGUCCAGGUGAAAAAAUCUCACUGGAUUUUUUUUGGUGCCAGGCAGCUCAGGCAGUAGAGUUUGGUUUGGCGAUAAGCUUCCUUUUUCCUCCCUUGUUUUCUUUAUUCUAUGCUACAAUCAAAUGAAUUAUAAGGAUAUUUUUCCAAUUGUUCUAAUUCCUUCUAAUGCUUGGGACAUGUAUGCAUUUCUUAGGAUUUAGUUUCCUUGAGGAUUAUAAAUUCCAGUCACACUCAAUGAGGGUUUGAAACUUUCAUUGGAAUUCUUGUCCCCUUGUCCUGCUGACUCAUUCAAUUUUUAGUCAUUAUGUUUUGGCAAGCUGAUAUAUGAUUUUUUUGUAGUAGUUACAUUUAUUGGUGUGGGCAGAUCAUGUGCCGUGGUGAUUGGCAUGAGUUGGGCCUUCUGGGCAUUACAUGAAGAAUUUGCAUCAUAAUCUGUAAUCUUAAGGUAAUUGAAGAUUGAUUUCCUCAUCAUAGAAAGUGAGUUGGCAGAUCUUGUCAAUAUUGAACCAAGUUGUUAGUCUGAAGUCUUUGUUAUUCUGGACUCUGUACUAUUUGGGCACCGAGUAACACAUGCGUCUUUAUAAGCUGGUGAUGAUCUCUUUGUGGUUUUAUGAACACAUGUUGAUAAUUUUUAUUUUGAUUGUUUACUGGAGGCAAAACUGAUUUUGACUUGUAUUUAUCUUGUAGAGAUAAUUUCUUUGAAAGAAAGUUUUUAUGGUAACUUCUGCAAUUUUGAGUGUGUGUUGAAAUCUCAAUCCUAACAUGUCUACAGGAAGCAGAAUUUUUUUUUUGGACUUAUGGGGGAAGUUAGAUUCUGCAAUAAGAUCUCUUUUCCUCCUGUAGAUUGACAGUGAUGGUGAUCCAAAUUUGGUUGUGGAGGUAGAAUAAUACUGGUUUUUGCUUUGACCUGUGAUUGGCAAUAAUUUGGCUUUAUAAUAUAUCCGAUCUGCAUGCUUUUUAAAGACUUGCUGUUCUCUAAAUGCCUGAGAAGUGUAUCUGCUUCCUUAUGUACACUCUAUAGGUAGAUUCCUCUUAUUGGUGUGGGGCGAGUAGAUUGAUGCCGACGCUUUUGUUGCCAAGGGAGAAUUAUAUAGGUUAUUGGUUUGUCCUGUAAUUGCCAUUAGUUGGGGUUUUCUGUGAAUGAAAUGCUUUUAACUUACGUAUUUGAAUUUUGCAUCAUUAUUCAUAAAAUAUGUUGCUAAUUGAUUUCCAAUUCAAAGAAAAUGAAUGAGCAGAUGCCAUCAAGACUUCUUUAUAAGUUGAUGUUUAUUUUGUGGUUGUGACGACUACUUUCCUAGCUCCUACAAUUGUUUUGUAUGUUGAAACAAAAAUGUUUGAUUAUUUAAACUUUAUAUGUAU